CUCUAAAACAAGGCGAACUGCCAGGUCCCAAGAUUUCCCUUCAUUUAUAUCCGCAAGCUUCCCAUCAGGAUGUAUGCAAGGGAACCUCUCACGGCUGUCACGAAGAUGCACUGUGCUUGAACACGCACAGCACUUUUACUUGCACUUGUCUUCCAGGA